UGUGGGAGCGAGCUUGCUCGCGAAGGCGUCGUGUCAGUCAAUAUUUGAGUUGACUGAUACGACGCUUUCGCGAGCAAGCUCGCUCCCACA
rnacentral:antisense_RNA from 1 species